rnacentral:ncRNA from 1 species
ACACCGGAUUUUCUAACCGUCAUAUCGACAAAAUCCACCAAGAUUUUACACAAAUGUUUGU